rnacentral:lncRNA from 1 species
CAGAUUCAAAGCUUGGGCAUGAGGUCCUUAAUUCUGAGCAAUGAGGGUCUUAUUUAUAGGCCAUGAGAUUGAUUUUUGCACACUUCCAAAUUUGAUAAAUUUUGAAAUUCUCCUUUGCAUGGUUGCAUGGUUAUGUGCUAGGCCCAUGAAAUGAUGUGAUCUGAUCCAUAAUUGAAUGUUAAUCAUCCUGAAACCAGGUUGGAAGGCCAUG